AGCCAGGUCCCUGUCCCCUACA
rnacentral:miRNA from 1 species